rnacentral:rRNA from 1 species
UACGUAGGUGGCAAGCGUUGUUCGGAAUUAUUGGGCGUAAAGAGUGCGUAGGCGGUUUUCUAAGUUUGGUGUGAAAUCUCCCGGCUUAACUGGGAGGGUGCGCCGAAGACUGGAAGGCUUGAGUAUGGGAGAGGUAAGCGGAAUUCCUGGUGUAGCGGUGAAAUGCGUAGAUAUCAGGAGGAACACCUGCGGUGUAGACGGCUUACUGGACCAUAACUGACGCUGAGGCACGAAAGCGUGGGUAGCAAACAGG